rnacentral:rRNA from 1 species
CUAUGGCCAUACUACCCUGAACGUGACUGAUCUGGUCUGAUCUCUGAAGCUAAGCAGGUAGGGCCUGGUUAGUACUUAGAUGGGACAAGUGCUUCAUAAA